UCGUCCGCCCCAGUCUUCCUAGCUUGAGACCCGGGCCUACUAACUGUUCAGUUCUUUUACAUACACCUCGUUCUGAAUCAAGAGUACUGAUGGUCAGCGACUAAAACCUGCUCGCCAGAUUCACCCACAGAGCAAACUCUGCAGCCCCCCCGCCCCCACCCCCACCCCCAGGGAUAGUCAAGCCAAAGUUAGCCCUGACCAAGAGGAAGAAUAUUGACCCUAAAACGCUGCGUUGUAAGUAAAGCGUCCUUGUGCCACGACCACGCCCCUUCGGCUGGAUUCGACACCUCCAAAUAAAGAGGAAGCUCCAGAAAGUUGGCCAGCUUUCUACAGCUUUAUUUCCUUAGCCGCACAAGCAAAUAGUGCAGCUUAUGCGGUGCUUCCCUGGUUCCGUUAAAACGUAGCUCCGCUACAACCCUAAGUAGGCAACAUUCCUAUUUUUUAAUUAAGGAAACUGGUUCAGAGAUCAAAGGUCAUGCCUAAAGGCAAAUAACAAAUGGGAGUGCCAACACAUUAUUGUUAGUGGGAAAGUGUUAGGAAAAGCACUUUAUCCACUAGCGGUAUUAAUAACCAUGUACUGAGCACCCACGUCCUAACCACUAUCAAAAGAACUGGACACUCAUUCACUCUUUCGGCCUUCCUAAGAGCUCUACAAGGAAGGUGUUCUCAUUCCUGACGUACAGAUGAAGAAACCCAGGCUCAGAGGAGACUCUGGGAGCAAGGACCCAAGCACAGCCUGGUGCUCUUGGAGAAAGAAUAAAGCAGCUAUUGUUCAUACUCAGAGGUUGCUGAGGUGCCCUCCCCCGCUGGUCUGGAAUGAUCCACACUGCUCAAAAAGUCAACAGGAGGAAUGGCGGGCUGGCCAAAGAAGGAAGGAGAAAAAGAAAGUCCCCUUUACUCCUGAGGGCUAUGGCAUCAGAUCAGGGUGGAGUCCUGGGCACGUCUGCCUGAUUCCUACGCAACAGCCCUGCCUCCGUCCUCCGUGUCUCCGCUGCUGCACCUCCACUCUCACACCUCUCCCCACAAGCUGCUUAAGUGCCCCUCCUGGAGUGCAUGAGCAGGUCCCGCUGCAACCCAGCCUCCAGGCUUGCAGUGAGCCUGGCCGUGGGAGGGUCGGUCAGGAGAGUCAAUUUGUUGAAAACACCUCGGCCAAAGUAGUCCGCAAUCACAGAGAAGCUGUCGUUGGAGCACUUGAGCUGCAGGGGAAGAGGAGAGAAGAAUCAGAACCGUGGGUCUCCUGUCCUCAGUGAGGAGGAGAGAAGCAGCUAAUGCUCCUGUGAUUUGCUCGGCGAGUGGGGCAGUUAUCCACGCACUCACACCCACCUGGUGCUGGAACUGAUCGUGCAGAUCACGUUUCUGUUCCUGGGCCCGGAUCAUAUCCAUGACCUUCCGGUUUUCAGGGAGGCAGGUGGGGCAGUCGGCAUCACUUUCUGAGUAACUCUCAAAGCAGUGUUGGUGGAAGGAGUGGCCGCAGAGAAAGUGGACUGAGGGCAACUCCAAGGCACUGUUACAGAUGCUGCACUUGGUCUUCUGGAAGAUCUUCGGACUGCAGCAAGGGAGACCAGAAAGGAGUGGCCAAGAGUGAGGGCAGAGCCAAGAGCCAGGUGCAGAGAGAAGGUGGCUGGAGUCGAGGACAGAGGUCCCUGGAAGGGACUGCAAGGUUCUGCCCUGGUCACCAACAGGGAGUCAAACGAGGACACCCACCUUGGGCCUGCAUGAGUCUCAGCACGCCCCCUGCAAGGCCAACUAACGCUUUCAGUUUUCACAACUGCCACUAAAUUGUCCUUAUCUUUUUCUUUUUUUUUACUUGAAGUAUAGCUGACAUAGGUCAUGUUAGUUUCAGGUGUACAACCCUGUAACUGACGAGUCUGUAUGUUAUGCUGUGCCCACGAGUGUAGCUACCAUCUGUCACCACCCAGCACUAUGACCACACCACUGACCCUGCUCCCUAUGCUGCACCUUUCAUCCCUGAGACUAAGUCCAUAAUUGGGAGCUUAUCUGUCUUUCAGGUCUUUACUAAGAUGUCACCCUUCCAGUGAGGCCUUUUCUGUCCACCUUAUACACAGAACAUACACGCGCUCUGCACCCCACUCCCCUUCCCAAACUCAUUUUCUCCUUCGACCUCAUCACCAUCUAACAUAAUAUUUUGCUUUCUAAUGUAUGUUUCUUUCUACGUUGUAAGCUCCAUACAACAGGGCUUUUUGUCUGUGUUGUGAAGAAUAGUCCUUGGGCCAUAAAAGGGGCUCAGUAAAUAUUUGUGGGAUGAAAAAACUUCUCUAAUAAAUAUUUUACAAUGUUAAGGGCAGAUUAAAACUUAAAAGUAGGAGAUUAAUAUAUAGUAUAAAUAUUUCUAAAUUAUCCACUUUCUGUAUUUUCUAAAGCAAAGUUUUUUACUUCUGAAUGUCUUCCAACUACACCUUAGAUAUACGUUUAGGAAAAGUAAUACAUAGACUCCUACAGAAAGAAAAGUACCUGCCGCAACAUAACAUUCUCCAAAGUCCGAUAAAGAACGACCUAUGGAAUAAACCAUUCUUUGGCAAUUCCUCCAUUAAGACAGAUCUUUAAGAAUGAAAUGUUUGAACAUGCUCCCUCUAACCCUCUGCGAAAAGUAUUUAGUGACACCUGAUGAAGAACAAGGUCAUCCCCUGGACCUCCAUACGUAUCCAGUUGCCAAAGCCAAGUACCUCGCCUUGAGCUCCUGGAUCUCCUGGCGGAUGCGCGUGGUCUCCUCUCGGUACCGCCGCACCCGGAGCUCGUCCUGUGCAAUCUGCUGGCUCUGUUUCUGCAGUUUUUGGACCAGGUAAUCACGGAUGACAGACAGGGUGGCUGUGGAGUUGUGUGCCAGUGUCUGCACCACUGGGUCCAGAAGGAAAGGAGACAAUGAAGCCAGCCGCACCCCCUGGAUGGAAUGGAAGAGCCCCUGCCCCAGAGCUGUCGGCGGCCCGCACGCUCUCACCCCCGCCACCCCGGCCUCUCGAGUACCUAGUAGGGGUGGCAUGAGGUUCUUGUUCUCAAUGUGCUUCAGCACAGCUGCCACGUACUCCUUGCAGUCCUCCUCCUUCCGGGCGAAGUAGCUGAGUGCCUGCUCCCACAGGGAAGGCUCCUGCUCCCCGUGGCGCUCGCACACGGCCACCACCUGCCGGUACUGCUCGUGCUGCAUGUGGUAGUGCAUGAUCUGCUGGAACCUGGGGCCGGGGCAGGGCACACCUCAGCGGCUGCCCCCGGAAAUCUGGACCCUGCCCCCUUCCCAGAAGUUUCCCCACAUCUUACAGCUUCCCCUGUUCAUAGAGGUAAAGGACCCCAUCCUGGAAGUCGUGCAUCUGGCAGAGGACCAGGGCCUUGUCAAAGACGUCGCAAAAGCGGCCGCUCUUCAGCAGGGAGAUGGCCUCUGCAUGAAGCUUCUCUUUGACCUGGGGAAGGAGGAGAGAGCUUCUGGCCAGAAGGGCAAAAUCACAGGGUCUCUUGGAACGAGGCAAAUCAACUACCUCUUCAACCGCCUCUUCACGGGGGACCACUUAGCGCCCAGGGGUGACGUGUUACUGGUCUACAGAAAGUGGCAAAAGGCAACCACAGAAGGUGGAAGAACGGUCUUUCCCCCAGCACCUCCCCAGCUUUGCCAGGCCUCACCUGUGGAUCUUUCUCGUGGGCCCAGUUCUGCAGUCGCAGCUCCAGCAGCGUGUCAUAGAUGCCCUGUGGUGAGUCGGGCUGGACUUCACUCAUGUGUUCCAGGAAAGCUUUCAACUCUCGAGGGUUGUUAGCGAAGAUGGGGAUGAACUCCUCUGAGUUGGCCUGGGAUGGGGAGGGGGGAGGGAGGAGGCGGAGUGAAUGGGCGUGGUACCCUUGAGGCCCCUGAGAUGAUCCCUGCUCUCCAAAAGCCAUUCUCCCUGAGGUCUCACCCUGCAGCCUGGAACCUCCCGAUCGCCUCGGCCUUCGAGGCUAGGCUGGUAGUCCGUACAGAGUCCUUUCAGCAGCUGGGUCGUCUGCUCUGGUAUAUGAUGCAUGAGGAUCUUGCCGUAGCGUUUCAUGUUGCUCUCAGCUUGCUCAAAAGGCAGCUUGCCGAUAUACCGCAGGGCUUCCUGAUAAUUCUGUGCAGAAGUAAAGGGCAGAGGAAGGCUGUGCUCCUGCCUCACCUACCAGGACGCACUCUCAUCAUUCCGAGAAUGUCCUAGAAAAAGAACAGGUCUCUGUCUCACUUACCUUGAUGUCCUCUAGCUGGAUCUUUAAGUACCAUUCGUGAUGUGCAUGGUUCUCAGCCAAAUAGAGGGCAUGGGAGUAGUAGCCAGCCUGCCGGAGGACCUUGAUGGCUGUCUCCACAUCAAAGUGGACUUCACUCUCGCUCUUUGUCUGCCAGGGAAACAUUAGACAAAAUCAUUCACAGAAACGGGGUUGGGGAAGGGAGAAGAAACAUGCAUCUGAAUCUAAGAGCAGAUUCUUCUUCCUUUUUUUUUUUUUUUUUUUUUUAAAGUAAGCUCUAGACCUAAUGUGGGGCUUGAACUCAUGACCCAGAUAUCAAGAGUCACAUGCUCUGCUGACUGAGCUAGCCAGACGCCCCCAGAUUCUUAAGGUAACAACAAAGUCAAGGCCAGGAUGGUGGAGGACCAAAAAAAAAA